UAAAACGGAACACGAGCCAGUCUCAAAAUCCCCCCUUUUGUUGGGUGAGUUCUUUGCUCAGUUUUAUUAAAUAUGAUUUUGAUUCGACUUCUCAGCUACUCGACACCCCAGACAUAAAGCGUCACAUGAACUUAAUGUCUGCAAUUGGAUGCCCACAGUUAUCGCUCGGAAAGUGAAAACUGAUUAAAUUCAGUGUGAAUACAGCAACCCAUUCGAUUAGAUUUCCAUUUGAAGUGCACUUGACCAACUCCAGGGAGGAUGGGAAGUCACAUUGCCUACGUCAGCGCCACUAAAAUGAGUAAUAAUCACGCGCUGGUCGGCCAAAUUUCUGGGUCGAGGAAAAGCUGCUGCAAAUGAAUAUUUGAAAUAUGCAAAGCUCGGCGGGGGAAGUUCAUGCAUCUUAAUUGGCAGACGGCCAAAUAAAAAACGAUUUUCCUCUGCCGGCCGUCGUUGGUAAAUAUUUUCAGUUAAUUUUGUUGCGGGCGUCGCGUCAGAAAUUCUUGAAUCGAAAUAUUCGGAUGGGAGAACAAGGACGGAUCUACAGAUCCUGACCACAAGUUAGGAACCAGUUACCAGGCCAAGAUCUUGAUUACUCAGCCCAGUAUUUAUAG